UGCAGAAAGCUCCCCUGAGCUCACAGUGUCUGGUCCGCUUCAGCACCGUCUCGACGGCGGGCUUAAACUUUCGCCGUUUCUCGGUUUUACCGUUGUAGUUGUAAACGUGUUCGAUACUUUAACGGGUUUCUAUCCUGGGGCAUGCAUCUGCUAAUUGCGCCGUCGAUAGUUGAAAAAGCGCAGGAUUCAUUGGCAACGUUCAGUUUAGUGAAAUAAACUCACUCUUAAAUUCAGGGAGGAUUCUGGUUUAAUCUCAGAACGUGCGUGACAGUAAACAGAAAACGUGUUCGAAGUUUAAAAAUAUUUCUUGUACAACAAUUCAAACCAUUCCCACGGAUGAAUACCACAAGUUUCCCCUUAAGCGUGAGAUCUCUUGUUUCAGUGUAUCCUCCAACCUCCCAACUUCUCAUUUCCAAUUCUAAGUAGGCAGGACUAUCAUUGCCUCCCGUAUUCCGCCUCCGUUCACUGCGAGUUUGAAUGUUCGCUGCGCCUGCAUGUCGGGGUGAGACAAUGGGACAAUACUCGGGCGCGUUAUGCAUGUUGCGCUUUGUCGAUUCGAAGGCGCGGUGCGGGCGCUCCACGUGACUGGCUUUCAAACGCGGUUCGGUCCCAGCAUUUCGGCGCCGCGUGUGAGGAUCGGAAUGAGUUAGAGGUGCUCGAAACAAUCGCGAUGGAGCCAGCGCUGUUCCUCCUGAUUCUCUCGACGGUGCUAGCCGAGACCAAGGUUUCGGAGAAGAAUAAAGAGUUGGGAGGGUGCCCGGCGGCGACGCUUUCGGUGAACGGGACGCGGGUGAUCGCGCGGGAGAGUUACGCCAUCGACUACAGCACCGUGACAGAGGUGCGCUUCACCGCGGAGCUGGGCCACCCCUCGGGUCUCACCUCCGACAUCCGGCUUUGCAAGAUCAAGUGCGUCAAAGGACAGUGGGUCGGCCCCAUCUGCCAAGAGCAAAACGACUCCCCCGAGAAAUAUCAGCCGCUGCUCCGAAGGUGUCAACUCAGCAAAAUUCACCCGCACCUCCUCAUAACCUUCAAGAAUAAACUCUGCUGGUAAGUGUUACUUCCAUUACUUCGCCCUUACCUAAAAAAUCACUGCAUACAUCCUAUAGGAAAGGCACCGUACCCAAGUAGCAGUGAUCGCCAUUAAUAGCGAUUUUAUCGGUUGGUUAUCGCGAUUAUACCGGUGGCAAUAUAUCGAGACAUUUUUGCAUUACAAAUUG
rnacentral:lncRNA from 1 species